CACACACACACACACCACCCCCCAUAUCACAGCCAACCACAACACUGGCGGGUAAGUUACAGCGUCUGUGGUAAUAACCUCCCAAUAGCUCUGCUUCUGACACAUGCACACACACACACACACACACACAAACAACAAUAGAUUAACAAUUACAAUGAUACACAUCACAUACACAGACACGUUGAAAAUACAACCAUAAACAACCCAAUAACAAAGACAUAUCUAUGUAGACAGUAUCUAAUUGGCAGCAUACCACUCUGCAUCCCACUGCUGGCUUGCCACUGACGCUGAGCAGGGUUGGUCCUGGUCAGUCCCUGGAUGGGAGACCAGAUGCUGCAGGAAGUGGUGUUGGAUGGCCUUUAGGUCUAAAAAAAGAUCCCAAUGCCACAGGACAUUGAUUGGGGACAUUGCCCUGUGUAGGGUGCUGUCUUUUGGAUGGGAUGUUAAACAUAUGUCCUGACUCUUUGUGGUCACUAAAGAUCCCAUGGCACUUAUCGUACAAGUAGGGGUGUUAAUCCCGGUGUCCUGGAUAAAUUCCUCAUCUGGCCUAAUCAUACCACCACCACCUAAUCAACUCCAGCUUCUAAAUGGCUCAUUCAUGCCCACCUACUCUUCCCUGUAACUAUGAGAGGAGUUAGCUUGCUACCAUUUCCAUUUGUGGGCAGUGGAACAAAUUAGGUUAGCUAGGCUUGCACAUCUCUCUAUCUCUCUGAGUGUACAAAACAUUAGGAAAUUGAUAUUGUGUUGCCUUUUGCCCCCAGAACAGCUUCAAAUCUUUGGUGCAUGCAAUGUGUCAAAAGCUUUCCACAGGAAUGCUGGCCCAGGUUGACUCCAAUACUUCUCACAGUUGUGAAGUUGUCUGGAUGUCCUUUGGGUGGUAGACCAUUCUUAAUACACAAGGGAAACUGUUCAGUGUGAAAAAGCCAGCAGCGUUAGAGGUUAGUGGUCGGUCGGUCUGUCUCUCUGUCUGCAUCUAUCUGUGCAUAGUGCAACAUGAAACAAACAUCUGCACAUUCUGAUGUCAAACCACAAGAUCUGAUCUCAGAUCUCUCUUCUAGUUCCAUCCUCUUUCCUCCAAUAAAGAGGUUGGGGCCAUGUAACUAAUGUAGCCAAACAUAAAAAUACAUUUCUCAGAAAAUAACAGUUACUGUUCUUUUGUUCAGUCUUUAUACAUUUCUGCAGAAUCUUGUCUCUCUUUUUCUCUGUGUGAUGUAAUCAGACUCACCAUACAGGAAGUAGAGCGCUUUGUCAGAAGAACUGUAGUUCGGAGAUGGUCAGUGGGACAGAAUGGAGAACACCUUGCUCUGUGUGCUACUCUAGAAACCUGUUCUGACCAUCCAGCCCAACAGCACUCUGUACCCUGAAGAGACAGUUACACUGACGGUUACUCUUACUGUCCCUCCAGGUUCCGUUGUCUCCAUCUCUCUGCCCAGGCUGCUGUGUGGUCUACUGGUGAUGUCUCCCUUUCUACUGGUGUCCAUCAUGAGGAUGGCGAAAUGCUGCAGGGCUCGAGGUUUGUGUUCAACAGUCAAAUCUCCUCAAGACCAGAUACCAUGUGAUGAUGUCAUUUAACAGAACGUAUCAUCCGUGUGAUCAUUACAGUACGAACUGUAAGCUGAACAACCACUUUAAUGAUUGUAAAGUUUUUACCAUUGACAUAUGAUAGUGUUUUACUGAGUUUAAUAUCACUGAAUGGAAUUUCACAAAUGCUGAAUGUUAUGAUUUUGUAAGUUGACGUUUUCAGCUUUUGGUGGAUUGUAAGCUUCCCUUUGUUAUUGUUGAUUGAUGUAGAUUUUGAUUCAAAUAUUACACUUAUCUGUCUUUAUUUCCGUUUUUUAUUGAACAAUAGUGUAGUUCCUGCUGCAUGUGUUGUAUUUUAAAUAAUCUCAUGCUUUUUACAUGCAGGUGGAUAUAUACAGUAUGUGAAUCUUUUCUGUUUUUUAUUCUAAUUUAAAUACUAAAGAUGUGUUUAUACCUGGUUGGUCGACCUACUAUAACAGUUAAGAUGGAACACGUAGCUAUAGUUUUAUUAAAAAUGUAUAUUUGCAUAAUGCAGCUUUUAUACUUAUUAUUAUAUAAAAGGUAGACUCAGCGAAAUUACGUUGCCAAGAGUAGCACUACAGAUAUUGAGAUGAGCGAGAUGCAAGACUUCACUCUCACACAGCCACAGACAGUAUCUGCACGUAUGCACGGGUUCACUUCACGUUCACAGUCUGGUAGUCUCCGGACCAAAACAGAGGAGAAGUUGAGCCUCAUGCUUCAACGUUCUUAGUUGUUCUGGAAAUUGAAUCACUCUGCAGUUUACUUUCUACAUCUACGUCAAAUUGCCGAGUCUACCUUUAAACUCCACUUACUUUUGACUUAUUUUCAUUUUCAAAUACUGUCUAAGUAUUUUGUAAAAAGGUUUUACAGCAGAUAUACAUUUCCAACAUGUAAGUAUUUUGUCAAAUGGUUUCAGUAGUUGUUUUAGGAGCCAGAUGGGUGUUCCACUAUGGAACUUAAAAUGGAGAAGGUAUGAUGUGUUUUGUAUUAAUUCUCAUAUAUCAAAUAAAAAGUGAUGAUUCACCUCAUCAUUGUA